rnacentral:rRNA from 1 species
AAAUAUAAAGAUUUACCUGAGUAGUAAUAGUUAUGUUCUUGAAACUUAAAAAAUUUGGCGGUAUUUUAGUCUAUUCAGAGGAACCUGUGGCGUAAUUGAUAAUCCACGAUGAACCUAACUUGAUUUAGUUAUAUUCAGUUUGUAUACCGCCGUUAUUUGAAAAUUUUUAUAGGAUAAUAAUUUUCUAUUUUUUAAAUUAAAUUUAAAAUCAGGUCAAGGUGCAGCUUAUAUUCAAGUGUUUCAUGGGUUACAAUAAAAUUAUUUAUACAGUUUAAAUUAUGAAAUUAAUUUAUUAAGGUGGAUUUGAUAGUAAAUUUUUAA